rnacentral:rRNA from 1 species
ACGUCAAGUCCUCAUGGCCCUUACGGGCUGGGCUACACACGUGCUACAAUGGCGGUGACAGUGGGAUGCGAUGGCGCAAGCCGGAGCGAAUCUCCAAAAGCCGUCUCAGUUCGGAUUGCACUCUGCAACUCGGGUGCAUGAAGUUGGAAUCGCUAGUAAUCGCGGAUCAGCAUGCCGCGGUGAAUACGUUCCCGGGCCUU